GACGAACGCUGGCGGCGCGCCUAACACAUGCAAGUCGAACGAGCGGAGGACUUCGGUCCAAAGCUAGUGGCGGACGGGUGAGUAACACGUGAGGAACCUGCCUUUCAGAGUGGGAUACCGUUUGGAAACGAACGUUAAUACCGCAUAACGUAUAUUGAUCGCAUGGUCGAUAUACCAAAGAUUUAUCGCUGAGAGAUGGCCUCGCGUCUGAUUAGAUAGUUGGUGAGGUAACGGCCCACCAAGUCUACGAUCAGUAGCCGGACUGAGAGGUUGAUCGGCCACAUUGGGACUGAGACACGGCCCAAACUCCUACGGGAGGCAGCAGUGGGGAAUAUUGGGCAAUGGGGGAAACCCUGACCCAGCAACGCCGCGUGAAGGAAGAAGGCUUUCGGGUUGUAAACUUCUUUACCAGGGACGAAGACGUGACGGUACCUGGAGAAAAGACCACGGCUAACUACGUG
rnacentral:rRNA from 1 species